UUGACGAAUGAGUUGAGCAAUUCCAAGUUUUCCUAUGACUAAAGAAGCAUAAGUGACAUUCCGGCGAUUUUGGCUUUCUACGAGCGGUUGUUGGUUUGGCGAAGCAGCAACUGGACUACCAAAUUGGUGGUUUUGUUGUAUGGGCAGACAAUAUGCGUUCAUGAAUGCAAAAUCAUCCGAGGAAGCAAAGGAAGAAACAGAUGAUGGAGAAGAUACAAUAUCACAUAGUGAAGGAUUAGCAAUACUGGAUAAAAUUGGGGAUGACCAUGGAUAUGUUGGGGGG